UUGGGAAUUUUGCGCAAUGGGCGAAAGCCUGACGCAGCAACAUCGCGUGCGGGAUGACGCGCUUAGGCGUGUAAACCGCUUUUGUAAAGGAAUAAAUCUUGAAGGUACUUUACGAAUAAGCACCGGCUAACCUCGUGCCAGCAGCCGCGGUAAUACGAGGGGUGCAAACGUUGUCCGGAAUUACUGGGCGUAAAGAGUGCGUAGGUGGUUUGGUUAGUCGUUUGUUAAAGACCAGGGCUUAACUCUGGGAAUGUGAACGAAACUACCAAACUAGAGUAUGGCAGGGGCUAGUAGAACACUUGGUGGAGGGGUGACAUCCGUAGAUAUCAAGUGGAAUACCAAAGGCGAAGGCAGCUAGCUAGGCCAUUACUGACACUGAGGCACGAAAGCGUGGGGAGCG
rnacentral:rRNA from 1 species